rnacentral:tRNA from 1 species
GGUGAGGUGUCCGAGUGGCUGAAGGAGCACGCCUGGAAAGUGUGUAUACGCAAGUAUCGAGAGUUCGAAUCUCUCUCUCACCGCCA